UGCAGUGCUGUGGCCCUCAGGAAACAGAAGAUUUGCCAGGCUUUGAUGAUGCAAGGCUAUUCAGUGCUAUUAAUGCUGGCCAACAAUGGAUUCCCUUAGGUUUCUUCAUUGUUCAGCUUUCACAACCACAAAUAAUCAUAAAUCAGAAGUACUAUGACAUGGACAAUCCUGACUUCGGUAUUCAACUCUUUAUUGGACAGGAAUAAAACUGACCUUCAUGCUUUCCACAGCAUCUGAGAACUCCAG
rnacentral:lncRNA from 11 species